GGGGGUAGGAAAAUGAAUUCAGUUUCUGUAGUGGUGGUGGGAGUAGAAAGUGCGGGGCAAACACAGGCUCUGUCGGGAGGAACAAAAAGCUACCCACCUGUUGUGUCUCAUAUUAAUGUCUGUGCUCCUUGAUCUUAACAUCACAGCACCUUUCUUUUGAAUUUUGUUCUCUUUGAAUCAUUCAUUGUUGCAUCUUCAGCAAGGGAAAGCAAUAUUCCUGACAUAAUCCCUAUUCUGUGAAAAGAGAGCUUAAGAAAAAUGUGUAAGGACCAUUACUUUUAUUUCAUUGCAGAAAUGUUGAAACAGGGAGAGAAUUAAAAAACAGCUACCAUCUAAAGCUAUGGUUCCUUAACUAUUUUGUUAGCCUACUUUAUGGUGUAGCUGUAGUGGUACUUAUGAUUGCUAGCAGAAAACAGAUUGUGGUGUAAGACAAAGAAUGGGUCGUCAAGGGCCAAGGAGAAGGAUGACCAUACUGACCUCAAAUAAGAUUGAAAUGGUGCAUUGAAAGUUAAAAUUGGUGCAUUAGACCACACAUCUUAUCACUGAUUUACAGAAUGAGGGAGAAAACCUAAUCUCUAUUGGAUUUGUCACAUGCUGUUCAAAUUUUAUUAAAAUAACACAAAAAAGUUCCUCUUAAAAAAAAAAAAAAUAAUUUUAAAGCAUUCUGUCAGUCUUGACAAAUAAUAAUCAUAACAAAUUAUUCAGCUGUAUCACUGUUAAUAUAUACUUAUAUCACUCCAUGUGGAGUAACAUUAGGAUGAUUUCUUUAUUAUUUCAGCCCCUUCUUUUUCUGUACUACCAGUUCUGGUGGAAUGCCUGUCCAUUCCACCUGACUGAUUGAGUUUUAUGAGGGCUGCUCCAAAAGCAAUGCCUCCUAUUUUAUUGUGUUGACCCACAGCAUCAAAGGCAUUGGUAGUAUGGCAGUAGAGACUGAACCUUGCCAACAGUAUUCCAUUACAUUUUGUUACUGUGCAACAAGUGUCAGCAGAGAGGCAGUCUGACAAAAUGGUAUCUGACUUGGAAGUGCAUAUGAAGCAAAGGUGUGUCAUAGAAUUUCUCCAUGUAGAAAAAAAAUGGCACUCAUUGACACUCAUCAACAUUUGUUGAAUGUUCAUGGAGUCCGAACAGCAGAUGUGAGCAUAGUGAGAUGGUGGGUGUUGCAUUUCAGCAGUCACAACAGUUAUGUGAAAGACAAACCAUGUUCCAGAGACAUUAUUUUUGGAGCAACCUACAUAAUAGCUCAUAGAUAUCCUCACGAUGCUGCACUUAAAUAUGAUUGCUUUAGUCGAACAACAGCAUGUGGAAGAAAAUAAUGAUAACAAUAAUUGUAAAGUAGCAAAAUGGUUAGUUGUAUCUCCAUCUCACUGAAAUGGUCAUAUGCAAUUUAAUGCACUGAAUCAGUAGUUACAAAUUCAGAACAUUUCCCUAUCUCUAUACAAGUAUGUGUCUGUAUAUAUACAUGCAUACAUAUAUAUUUGUAUCCCUCGUGGGAACAAUAAUCACACACUCACUCUGGUUUCAUGAUACACCAUAUGACCAUGUGUGUAUAUACAGAAUGACUGAUAGAUGAUGCACUGUAUCAUUCCUAUACACAAACAUACCCAACUCUGUCAUUUUCCUGACUUUGUUGUAGGUCUUUACCAUUCUUGUCUCCCCAUUUUUAUCUUCUGAGGUGGCACCUAACAAAAGCAAAGCAUCACAACCCUUGGAUUAAAAUGCCAGUAUCAUUAUUGCUACUUCUGUUGGACAUAAGUAAAAUCUUCCUCUUCUUGAAAACGUUCCAGAUUUCUGUAUGUUUAUGUUUGCUUGUAAGGCUGUACUCUAUUACCUAUGAGUGGAAAUUAAGAAAGAAAAAAAAUGCAUCUUUUUUCCUGUCUGAGUUAAUCUUCUAUUGACAACUGACACGCAGUAUUAUUUUGUAUUUUUGUCAUUUUUUAUUAAAUUGUGUACUACUAAAUAAAAUAUUUUAGAGAAAUCUGCUAUAUUAUUACUAUCUUUAUUAGGCAACUUUCAUCAACAACAGAAUUGAGAGAUAUAAAAUGUACUUCCUGCAAGCCCACAGUGAUGUACAUUAAUUACAUUACUCUCCUUAAUUACUUGUUAAUUGUUUUUUACAUUAACCAUUCCAUUAGUUUUCUCUGUAUCAUCAUCAGGCUCACAAGCUUAUAUUUACAUGUAUUAUCCAGUUUACUGCUUAAAAUGUCAUUAAGUUUCUUCUGAAUGCUACCAUAUUUUUCCAACUGGAAUAAUGGGGAAAAAAAAGGAUCUAUAUACUCCCCCGCCAUCCCUUCUAAAAUAAUGAGAUACAAAUUACACAGAACUGCAUUUUAAAAUUAUAAACUUCGGUAUCAACUCAUUAAUGUCAUCCUAAAUUAUUCUUGAUAUGGAAAUAUUUAAUAGUCUCAGCCCUACCAAACAUCUGUCUCUUCCCAGAUACACAACAGAAAUGCAUAUUGAUCCCUUUAAUUAACUGUUACUAAAGCCAAGGUUUCCUUCUGGUAAUUAAUCACUAUCAGGUUUCUUGCAGUUUUGGUUUACUCGGGAAAUUAUUCCUUACGCAACAUGGGAGGUAACUCAUUCUUUGUACCUGUUCCACUUGAUUAAACUUCCACAUUCUUAAUCUCUGUCUUAUGAUCAGAAUUAUCUUUUCUUAUGAAAUUCUGACUUUAUAUCUGCUUGGUGUUUUAACUGGUGUGAUGUUCCUUUUGGAGAAAGGUAAUGACUUUUUAAAGCAGUAUUGAUGCUUAGAAGUAUUCUUAGUAUGCUCCUAAUUAGCAUUCAUGAUUUUCUGUAAUUAUUUCUCAUCUCUUACUAUUAUGGUCUCCGAUUGUUUUUCCUUUUGAAUUGAUUUAUUCUAAAGCUAUAAGUAUGAUAGUGGUUUGGACACUAGUCAUUCCUGCAGAUUACAGUGCAUUCUAUCACAACUUCUUGUACAGAAGUUACCACUGAUUUAUAGGUCUGUGAUCUGUUUUCUUCAUCUGCUAAGAUGACUUCUUACAGAAUCUACUUGUUUUGGACAGAGUAUUUUUUUUAGUGAGAAAUCUGUUGCCUCUAAACACUCUGUAAAUGGAACUGUCUCCUCUCCCAUGCCCACAAAUGUUACUCAUAAUGCAGUUAUUAUAAUACUGAUAUAUUCCCUUUCUUUUUAAAAUGCAGGUGCAAUUGUCUCAGGAUUUUAAUUUGCUGCUGUAGUCUGUAGAGGUCAUCAAUCAGUAAACUAUGUUGUAUUUAUCUGUUAUAGCACUGAUUUCAUAAGCAUUUGGCAUCAUGUUGCUCUUGAGCUGUAAGAAACGAUCAAUUUAAUUUUUGACAUAAAAUGCCAUUUUCCUUUCAUUUUUUUCAAGUCACUCAUUUAUAAAAGCCUUAAUUACUUCUUUUUCAACAGCUGAAGUAUAAUAGGCACCCCAACAGCCUUCAGUAGUAAAACCUCGGUUUUCUGAUAUAUAGGCUGAACUCCCAGUGUUGUUGUACAGGCCAACAAAUUACCUCCUUAUUAUUUUCCAAUGUCCGUGUGAGUUCAGGAUGCUGAAGACCAGCAUUAGUCUGCAUUAGCAAUGACAACAGGUACCAGAUGUUCCUGCUGGUGUUGGUGACGAUGUUUUUACUGAGACAGAACCUCUACCAUAGCUGCGUGACAUACAGCUGGUGAUGCCGAAUCAGUGCAGAUGUACGAUGCGUUUCCCCAGUUGUAGGGCUUUUCUGCAAAAUAAACUAUGCUAUCCUUUUCAUGAACAACUGCCAGCCAAAAUGAUCACAUCUUGCUCUCUCUUCCAGAAAACCAAGAGAUAAGAAUGAUUCUACAAAAGUCUUUUCAUUGGAAUCAAAGCAAUUUUUUCAAAUGUUUCCAGCCACCUCAGUUGUUCAACCCACUUUCUGAACGACUGCACCCUCUAUUGGGGUGAUUCUCUAAUGGACCAAUGAAAGCCAACAAUGACAAGUUGUGGUCAACAGUCCUUGAAUGUGCUGAUGGUUCUGCUUUCAUUACUCUUGUCAGCAGUGUUGUCCGCACAUUUUCGGGUCUGCGAGCCAUAUACAGACUACAAAGGACGCUACCACUUUGGUUUUCACUGCCCCCGUCUUUCUGACAAUAAAUCUUACAUCUUUUGCUGUCACCAUAACAACACAGUAUUUAAAUACUGCUGCAAUGAGACAGAAUUUCAGACUGUUAUGCAGAUGAAUUUAACAGGGAAUGCAGAUGGAUAUAUGCAUAACAACUACAGCGCACUCCUAGGGGUGUGGAUCUAUGGUUUUUUUGUGGUGAUCUUGCUGGUACUGGACCUUUUAUAUUACUCUUCAAUGAACUAUGAUAUUUGCAAAUUUUACCUAGCACGGUGGGGAAUCCAGGGAAAGUGGAUGACACAAGGACAGAGCCGAUGGAUUAGUUCUGCUCAGGACCCAAGCCAAGUACAGACUCAGCCUCAGCCAGAGACACAGCCUCAAACUCAGCCUCAGCCACAGCCUCAGACAUCACAGACAGUACAUACUCUAAAAGGAGAUGCUUUAAGCCCACCCCUGAUGUCUUUUCAGAGUACAUCUGCCUGUGCUCAUAAAUCAGAAGUUUGAACACUUUGUAUGUCCUUCACAACUACUCAACGUCUCCCCAGCUGGGCGGUUCAGGAGAGUUGUGUUGGGGAGUAUCUGCCAGAAACUAUCAGAUGAAACACAUGACUACUAACUGAAAAAUACAUGCUUUCAGAAGCACGGAAUUACUUCAGAAACCAUCAUUCACAGUUCAGGAAUUAUUAUUCACAAAAAGUAUAUUGAUGUGCCUCAGGAUGGGAGAGGUAAGAUCAGACUCCAUGGAGCAGCUUUCAAGGAAACCAACUCAAUGACAAGAGUUUAAAAAAUGGUGGAUAAGCAGCAGAGAGAAAAAAAUGACGGGAUGGAGGUUGACCAAGUCAUCUGGAGAGAAACAUCUUUCAGACAACCUCAAUAGGCAAACAAUGUAGAAAGAGUUUCCAGAAGAAGGUAGUCCGUAAGCAAUAUUUUAAUUUUAGACCAACAAUAUUAUCUUUGAAAGGAAGCAUAAUGUUUGGGAAAGUGCUCAGUAGGAAGAAAAUCAAGUUGCUCUGGCAAAUCUGGACAAAGGUGGGAAAAGAUCACAAGACAAACCUUUGGUAGCUAACUUUUCUUUGCCUCCCCAUCCAUCUAUUGCCAUUUGAGCCUAAUCUAAAUGUCAGAAUAAGGAAUGUGAGUUUUUCCAAAGUUCUCUGGUGAUGACUUUGUCACAAUAGAGUAGAUGCUGGCAGUCCCCAUGUUGUCAUGCAUAAAAAGGUGUGUGAAGCCUUCACCACCAAUCAAACUGCAGGGUAGCAGCUGAUUCAGCCUUAGUGCACAUUUUAAGAUCAUUGGCAAUGAUUUUGCUAAGAUAUCAAAUACCUGAAUACAUCUCAGCUUCAGCUUCACAUGCCUUUCUGAAGAGGGGAGCUUUUAUUAGGAAGCAACAGGCGCCCGAUUCCUCCCCCACACUCCUUGAAGCUGAAAGAAUAUUAGAAGACAAGCAACAACCUUUAUAUUACAAAAGCAAUAAUAGCAUUGUCCCUCUGCUUUACAAGGCAAUAAUCCAAUUCCCUCAGCCACUGACUGGCGUCAGAGUUUAUCCCUCUCAAAUCUAAGGGUUCAUUUGUAAGUCAAAAGAGCAAUGAUACUGCCACAGAAGCACAUGGAGUACUUGGUCACUAAGUUAUGAUAGCUUAGCUUAACUUUUCACAGGACAGGUUUACUUAAAAAUCACACAAUCUCAAUGACACGAGCUAAUUCUGUGAAAUGUAAUCAUUUGUUAAGAUCUAUGUAUGGAGAACCUGGCAAUGACAACUAAACAGAGUUCAUCUAGAAAUUGCAACACAGCGUCAUGCUAAUACCAAAUUAAUUUUUCCUGCCUAAUCUUCUGUCCUGCAGAUACAAGUAAUUUUAUAAUAAUGACAUGUUUUAUUGUACAACCAGCAUGAAGAACACCUUGCCAGUGAUUAUAAAGAAGCACCUUGUGAAUAAUUACUUUUUUAUUAUUUUUUUUUUAGCCUUUUUGAUUUGAGAGCAUUUUAGUCUUAAGGUGAACUCAAAAGGGAUAGAUUCCUGAGAGAUCUGAGCUAAUUCAUAGCUACUGGAGUGCAUGACAGUAUGCAUGACGGAACCCCCCAGGAACAAUUACUGUUGGGGGAGCCAGCAGGACUAGAGAGCAUAGGAGUUCCUGGUCUACAACGAAGACCCAAUCUGAAGAGGAUACUGAUAUGCUCAAGUCCCUUUUCUUUGCAAUCCAAAUGGUAAAAAUAACAAAAGCAAAGUACCUCUAGAUAAUGUCAGGCAACAACUAUCAAGAACUCAAAUGCCGCAGAUAAGUAUGCCAGCCUGCAGGCAUUAGGCUCCAUCUUGCUCUAGGUAAGCAGAAGGCUGACUGCUUCUCUUCACAGAAUGUGUGUUCUUCUUUGCAGCACUUCAAAUAAAAAGCACUCAGUACUUUUUAAACCUUGUUUCACUCCAAACACGGCAGACCUUAGUUUUUCACAAGAACGUUUCAUUAGCGCAUGGCAGAAGCAUUCAAGGAAGUUCAGCUGGGAACAAAAAAAGAACCUCCUGCAAACAAGCACCAUAAGUAGCUUGCAGACAUCAGCACAGCACCAGUUGCUCUAUCGUGGUAGCCUGGAGCUUCAGCAGGGUCAUGAGCCGAGCUCUGAGUGCUGGCAAAUCUCUCCCAGUGAGGAUGCAUGGCGACUCUAGCAGGGCCGCCUUGCAAGAACAGCAAGGAACCCAAGUAGGUGGAAAAAAACACUAUCCAUGCCUCUGCAGGCAUUGUGUCCCUCAGCCAUUGUGUCUCUCCCACUUCCACAUUGGCUCUAAGAUUCACAGUCCCUUGCAGGCAGCCACCAAAGUAUCUAUGCCUACAGCAGUCAGUCCCACCUUGGUGUUUUGCAGUAGCUGUUUGCUCCUUUGGCCUUCUGUCAGCAUCUUCUUUCAUUGUGAGGUGAUGGGCCACAGAGAGCUUUGUAAAAACUUAUGUUCAUGGAGGAAUUUGUAUUAGAUACUGGUUUGUGUGAAUUACUGUAUUUUGUAAGGGUUUUUUUCCCUCUGGGAAUUGUGCGUUAUUAAUGAGCAGUUUUAUGCUUUACUUCUAGUACAUGUAUACCUUGUAAUUGAUGAGAGGUUUUCUUUGUUUCCCUUUGAUUCUGUAUAAAAAGCCAGUUAAUAUAAGGUAGAUACUCUCUGGCUGAAGUUCUGAUUUUGCCUACCAAUUAAUUUAUGGAUAAAUCCACGUAGUAGCUGAUGAUGUUCAUCAACUGUGUUGCUAUAAUCACCUGAUAGCCUACCUAGUUUUGCAGAAUAAUAAGACCUUGAAUAAGACUAAUGCUUGCUGGGCCUUAAACUAAAGGGAAACAGCGCACACACAUUUCUCAACCUCAACUGCUGUCAGCCCUUCUCCCAUACUGAUUUCCCGUACUGACAAGAUAUUGCAGAAGAGCACUGCUAGACAAAAGGUAGCCUGAACAUGCCAAACUUCUGCAUAGCAGAGCUCUGAUAGCACCAUGCAUUCACCUAGCCUAUGUAACUGUGGUGUACCAGAUGAACUGCAAUGAAUCAUUCAAUUAUUUCCGGAGAAAUAGCCUGGUUCAAACAUAAUCUCUCUAUACAAGAAAAGACCUGGGCUAAAAUAUAUUUCUCAGCGUUCAUCCUGAUACAGUUGGAAAAACAAAGGAUAUAAAAUUAACAAAAAGUGCAUAAUUUCAUUGUACACCCUGUACACCAAUGGCAGCUACUUCAGUGGCUGUUAAUUACAUUUGUGUUCCAGAAGCCUCCCUCCUUCCUUGUCCAGUUCAUCUUCUCUCCUACAUUUUACUGAGAACUGAGUGUCCAACUUCUUAAUAAUUGCUGUGCGUAACAUAGAACAUAAAAAGAUACAUAAUACAGCUUGUGCAGGACUUGGUGUUGUAAUUAACCAUAUUUCGUGCCUGGUUAUCGAUUGUACAAAAACAGAAAGUGACAACAACCUGGCCUUUUAAUGUAUACAUCAGCAUAUUGUAGCAGCUAUUUUAGAUAACUGUUUUUAAUAGUUUUAUUAUGGUUGUAAUUUCUAUACGAGGACUGUCCACUUGUAGAAGCGUUGAAGUAAUGCAUCAAAGCAGUUUUUAAAGCCAGUUCUAUUUAAUUACCAGUGGUGAUGUAUGAAAAUUAGGACAACUGAAACAAAACCCAAAACCCAACCAACUCACUGGAAGGAAACAUAUUUUCUCAUCCUUGAAAAUUCUACUGCAUAAGACAGACAUUUUUUUCUAGUCCUCUUUUUACAUAAGUAGUAAAUCACUAUGAAGAUAAUAUAUACAGUACAAUAGUCCAUUUUAAUAGUCUACAGUCAAAUUUUAGGCUAAUUAAGCUAACUAGAAAUUCUAGGGUUACAGUGAUUUCUCACUAUUGAUAUGCUGAAAAUAAUACUGUUUACAUAACACUCGAUGUUUGAAAUCAAUAUGUGCCAGUGUCCGGUGAUUUGCUAAUCUAGUUUUUGAUCUCAACCUGUCCUGUUUUUUGCAGCAUACUUAACUUCAUAUUAUGAAUCAUGUUGUCUUUCUAAAGUGAUUGCCAAGUAAACCAAAAACGUGUUUUACACUGCUAUUGCACUGCUCUUGUCUUUAUAUACAGUAGUUUUUAUAAAGAUGUCCUUAGGUUUUAAUAAAUGAGUGUAAUGUAAACUAUUCUCUGUAAUAAAACUUGCUUUAAUGUUUCAAGACCA